ensembl:lncRNA
GUAACUUUCCAAAUUAUUUCAAGAAUAACAGCUUUUGAGGAACUCUAUGUAUGCAAAAUUCCAACUAUUUCAGCAAAGACCUGUCAUUCUUCUAAGAGUCAAGAACAACACCUUAACUGGUCACGUUCCCGUUGCGACAGCUCCAAAACUGCUUUCAGCUUCCACAAGUCACCAGAUGACAGAAGACAAGCUGUGUAUUUCUCAAUAGGCACAAGAACUUGCAUAGUGGUGUGCUGACUUUAUAGUUGAAGGUUUGAACUCAGCACUAAUCUCCAGGGAAACUUCAACAUGAAAUUCAUCUGCCACUGCACAUCCCAGGCAUGAAGCACAGCCCUCACCAUUUGUUACUUUGGUUAUUUGAAAUCAGAAUUUCUGAAAUUUGUUUUCUUCUUUGACGUCCAUUUUUGUCUUCAUUAUGUUGGUGCAAAUGCAAAGAGGAAUGGGCUUACCUGUGUCUGCUGGAAAAAGAUCAAAAAAGCAAAACUCUUCUGCAAAGGUAGCUGACUUGCAAAGCUGCAGCAGGUUGACAAUGUGUCUGAAACAUCUAUUCAACGUGAAAAUAUAAGCUAUGUCAUGCUUCUCUGUGGCAAGGAUGUGCACUAAAGAAGGUCCAUGGACCAGCUAUCUCAAGACAGGGCAUUCCUCACCAAAGAACUCAGGUGACUUUGGAGUUUAUAAUGAUCGUUCAACAUUAAAAACAUUUAGGUCUUGUGAUCUCGGAGGAGAUGAAAAGCAACAGAUAAAACUGCAUUCCAGUUUCCCUGAUGGCCCACAAGGCAAAGGUGGCUUCAAUUUACAUCUCAAUAUCUCACGUGGUCACAGGAAUUGGGGAAUGAUGAAAGGGGUUGCUUGCCUUGCAAGAAGGAGGGGGGAGAUCUAUUAUCACUGCUUUUUCAAGAUUGGAUUUUCUCAAAUGCCCCAAUGUUAAUUUCCAGUGAGGUUUUUGUCUUGAAGUUACAUUU